AUACUGAUACAGGGCUCUUUUGGGUCUUGUAAUCGGAAUGAGUACAAUUUAAAUCCCUUAACGAGGAACAAUUGGAGGGCAAGUCUGGUGCCAGCAGCCGCGGUAAUUCCAGCUCCAA
rnacentral:ncRNA from 1 species